CCACCGGUAGACCGGCAAGUUGGCCAUUCUGGUUCGAUGGUGAUUCGGGCUUGCCGGUCGGCGCGGAUCUUGUCCCAGCUGGUGCCC
rnacentral:tRNA from 1 species